GAGAGAGAGAGAGAGAGAGAGUGAUUUAUCUAGCUUCGCUGCGUCAUAUAGUUCCUUGAUUACUCUACCUAAAAUGUGAAUCACAAUCCUAGUUGGAUCACUAACGUUGAAUUUUUAGUGGACAAGCUGUUUGCUAGAGUGACAGGCCUAGCAGAAAUCAAAACUAAUUUGAAAUGGAAUCAUCCCAUAAUGACAAAAAAAACUGUACUCGGCUUGGUCAGAUUAUAGCUUGAGUGAACAUAUUGAUUGGGGGAUUUUUCAGUAAUGUAAUUUGGUAAGAAUUCUAGUUUUUGCAGGGUGAGAUUUGUCACUCUACCCUGGUGCAAAAGAAGGGAAAAUAGUUUAACAACUGCAAGUACAUUAGUUCGACUUUUGAGUUUUGAGAGUGGUCUCUUUAUGUAAAGAUGGUUUAAGGUAAAGAUAGUAUUAAUCUAUUAGAUCACCCCUAAUAGCCUACAGGAUACUGCUUUAGUGGGAUAACAUUAACAGAUGUCCUUUGAAAGGUAAUGUAUGCCUGUCAAGGGAAAUAUUACCCACCUUUCCCUCCAUUUAUUUUCAUUGACUAUGGCAAACAAUAUAAACUACAUUCUUGAUCGAAUCAUUCUUGGAAAAAGAUAAUCAUCUGUUUUAAUUUAUUUAUAAUUCUUCUUUAGUUAGUUAAAGAGGGAAGUUUGCACGCCUUUCUAAAUGCUUUGCAAAAUGGAAACCCUCAAAAUUUCUUCUUUUGAUGUUAGUUACUUUGUUCAGCUCAUUGAGUUGAGAUGGUUGAAAUGACUUGAUUGAGAGAAGGGAGAUUGAGAUGGCUUGGAGACAUGCAUGAUAGACUAGUAAAAGCCUUGGGAUGAAAGGUUGUGUACAUGAAGAGAUAAGAGUAAUAAAAGGUGGGCCAGUCUUAAGUGAAUUGGAGGGAAGUGGUGAUAAAUGAUUUAAUAAUCCUAGAUCUUUUUGAUGUGAUAGAGCUAUGGAAUGGAGAAAUUGGAUUCAUAUUUCUAACCCCAGCUAGUUUGGGGAUAAAUUUCAACAAUUGUCCCUGAACUUUU
rnacentral:misc_RNA from 1 species